AGCGAACGCUGGCGGCAGGCUUAACACAUGCAAGUCGAGCGGGCGUAGCAAUACGUCAGCGGCAGACGGGUGAGUAACGCGUGGGAACAUACCUUUUGGUUCGGAACAACACAGGGAAACUUGUGCUAAUACCGGAUAAGCCCUUACGGGGAAAGAUUUAUCGCCGAAAGAUUGGCCCGCGUCUGAUUAGCUAGUUGGUGAGGUAACGGCUCACCAAGGCGACGAUCAGUAGCNGGUCUGAGAGGAUGAUCAGCCACAGUUGGGACUGAGACACGGCCCAAACUCCUACGGGA
rnacentral:rRNA from 1 species